GUGAACACUCCCCCCUGGAUGAGAAACCGGAUAUGACGCACGGGAAUGGCGUCAUCAGCGAGAGUAACAUAUAGAAAAAAAUUUCAUCAUAGACACAUCAAAUAAUAAUAAUGCAAUUAUUUUUCGACCCUUUUAUAGACUUAUAUAUAUAAAGUAAGUUCCUCACAAAUUUUCCUAAACCAUGGUAUAGUGUACGCCUGUAUUCUCCCAAAUUACAUCCGAGAAAUUGACAAGGUUAGGUAUAUAUAUAUUCUUGUGUGAAAGACUAGCCAGUAUAGUUUGUAUAUUUGAAUUCUUUUGUGGUAAAUGAAUAUAAAGACAAGUCUUUAUAUUUUUUGGAAAAUCGUACUUAAGUUUUGAAAUUUGUUAGUAGGUUUCAAUCAGUAAAACUCAUUACAUAAAAUGGUCGUUGUACCAUUAACAAAUUGACUUUUAUUUUGUUCGCACUGUUAUUUUGUGUUUUUUUUUCUAUAGUAUUACAAUACAUUUAUAGCCUUGUGGUUUAUACGGUUUUUGUUGAUUUUCUUGGUAUUUGGCGUUUAGGUCAUAAUUCGUCAUUGCAUUAAUUAAAGGCACAGUUCCGCCUUUUGAAUGAUGGUUUUUAAGGUGCAUUUCAGCCCUUUUAAUUGAAAAAACUAACUAGGAAAAUCAAUUAUACAUAAUUCAAGAUCAGUAAACUUGAUGUUUUUAACAAUAAAAUGUUUUAAAAUGUUAAAAACAUUAGGUUUACUGAUCUUGAAUUAUAUACUUAAUUGAUUUUCCUAGUUAGUUUUUUCAAUUGAAAGGGCUGAAAUGCGCCUUGAAAACCAUCAUUCAUAGGACUGAACUAUGCCUUAUACCGCGUACUCGGUAAAGACACUGAAAACGAAUUUUACCACAUUCGCAAAGCAUUGUGGGUAAAAAACUAGCUUUUUUGUUUGCUGGAUUUGUUGCAGAUGCGAUAUAUCGCAUCGGUAUAAAUUUGCAUAUUGACAAAAAUUAAACCAUGGUUUCCUUAUUUUGGCUUGUGCAUGAUUUCCAAAGACAUGGAAUUUCCUGUGCCUGUGGCUAGCGUUGGCGGUUCUCCAAACCCCCAUAGACUCUUAUAAGCUUCUAGAAAUAUGAACCAAUCUAAGGCUAUAUAAACGAUUUGUUUGGUUAAACACAACUUAAUGUAACCAUGGUGCCUUAUAUUGCAUGAUAUCAUUCCUAAGGCUGUUCCUUUAAAAUGUACCCAUAUUCAUGUAUAGGAUUAAAUGUUAAAGUGACUUUUCGUAAAAGUAAAAUUUAAAAUUCUUUUUUAUACAUAUGUUCAGGAAUAGUUGUGCAAUUUAAUCAUGCUGCUAUAUGCAUGUAUAUCUAGA
rnacentral:lncRNA from 1 species